rnacentral:rRNA from 1 species
GACGAACUGUGCAAACGUUAUUCGGAAUCACUGGGCUUGAAGAGUGCGUAGGCGGUUUUGUAAGUAGGGUGUGAAAGCCCCCGGCUCAACCGGGGAAUUGCGCCCUAAACUGCAAGGCUUGAGUGAGGUAGGGGUGUGUGGAACUUCCAGUGGAGCGGUGAAAUGUGUUGAUAUUGGAAGGAACGCCGGUGGCGAAAGCGACCUGCUGGAUCUCUUCUGACGCUGAGGCGCGAAAGCUAGGGGAGCAAACGGG